rnacentral:lncRNA from 1 species
CCUGGCGUGCUGUAGUCCAUGGGGUCACAAAGAGUCAGACAUGACUUAGCUAUUCAGCAACAAUUCUCCAGGAAGCCUUAUGGGAUUGGGGGUUGCAUUAAAGUUGGUUGAUUGGAUUUCAUAAGAUGCCCUUAUUCUAAAGACCAUACUUCUUUUAGGAACUUUUUCUCUCUCCAAGGGAAGACUGAGAUAAUUACCUGAGUACUUGAAGCCCCAAACUCCUCACUAGCUUCANNNNNNNNNNNNNNNNNNNNNNNNNNNNNNNNNNNNNNNNNNNNNNUUACCUACACAACACCCUCAGCUGUCUUCAAUUUUCAUAAGGCAACAUAACUGUCUCUGCUCUCCUUAAGUCCCCACUUGUAUUGUUUCAAGCUACAGAGACAGAUUGUCAAAAGGGAGGUCCUCCCAGCCUCCCUCUCCUCCAAGACAUAUUUUCCUCUAAUGCUUUCCUUCCCCCCUAAAUAAGAAUUAAAAGUGAUAUUUCUUUUGACAGCUGGUAACUAAUCCCACCUUAGCAGGAAAGAGAACAGGAAGCCAGCAAAGGAAUUUUCCAUUCCUAUGUCUCUCUUAAUUUUUUUCCACAUCAGGUACUUUUCAAAAUCUAGACAUUUCCCGUGAGUCUGUCUACCUUCUUGUUUUGUCUACGAGAGUCACGUGUUCCUAACUUGCCCUGUGCGGGCUGUGGAGAAGCCUGACGGAGCUGAUGCUUGUCUAUGGAGGAGGGAGAACUUGAGAGCCUUUGAAUCUCCAGAGGGAAUAGGACUGAAAUGUGAUGCCUUUGCUUAUGCAAACGGGAUUUUUCCUCUUGUAAAGAUAAAGUUCAACAGCUAGUCCCACAAACCACAAAUCAAAAUGCCUCGUGUUGUGAGGAGAGCUACAAGUCUGACUCAAAGACCUGGAGGAGAGCAGAGAGCAGUAAGCAGUCGCAAAUACUCCUGUCCGAUCAGCACUAAACCUGUGACAGGUGAUGGGCUGUCCAGGUCCCCGGGGAAGAGGAGACAAAACAUGAGAAGGGUCCGGAAGCGGGAACAGCCAGCUGAAGCUCCCAAAUGGAAGUAAUUUGAACAUAAAAAGAGCAAGAAAUCGCAUACUACUGUUGACAACACAAAUGCACAGUUAUUGUCAGUAAAAUGUAAAAACUAACUAUUGCAGAAGUGAUUUCUGAAAUAUAAUAAAAGGUAGAUUCUGGGUCAUUUUAUUCAAUCUCAUCAAGCAAUUGACAUGUCUGGGCU